rnacentral:ncRNA from 1 species
GUCUACGGGGCGGGGUGAAAUUCCCCACCGGCGGUCAUAGUCCGCGAAACACGCCUGCGUGUCCGAACCGGUGGAAUUCCGGUACCGACGGUACAGUCCGGAUGGGAGAGAC